rnacentral:rRNA from 1 species
UGGGGAAUUUUGGACAAUGGACGCAAGUCUGAUCCAGCCAUGCCGCGUGCGGGAAGAAGGCCUUCGGGUUGUAAACCGCUUUUGUCAGGGAAGAAACGAGUUUCUCUAAUACAGAGACUUAAUGACGGUACCUGAAGAAUAAGCACCGGCUAACUACGUGCCAGCAGCCGCGGUAAUACGUAGGGUGCAAGCGUUAAUCGGAAUUACUGGGCGUAAAGCGUGCGCAGGCGGUUAUGUAAGACAGAUGUGAAAUCCCCGGGCUCAACCUGGGAACUGCAUUUGUGACUGCAUGGCUAGAGUACGGUAGAGGGGGAUGGAAUUCCGCGUGUAGCAGUGAAAUGCGUAGAUAUGCGGAGGUACACCGAUGGCGAAGGCAAUCCCCUGGGCCUGUACUGACGCUCAUGCACGAAAGCGUGGGGAGCAAACA